UACGUAGGGUGCGAGCGUUGUCCGGAAUUAUUGGGCGUAAAGAGCUUGUAGGCGGUUUGUCGCGUCUGCCGUGAAAAUCCGGGGCUCAACCCCGGACUUGCGGUGGGUACGGGCAGACUAGAGUGUGGUAGGGGAGACUGGAAUUCCUGGUGUAGCGGUGAAAUGCGCAGAUAUCAGGAGGAACACCGAUGGCGAAGGCGGUUCUCUGGGCCUUACCUGACGCUGAGGAGCGAAAGCGUGGGGAGCGAACAGG
rnacentral:rRNA from 1 species